AACGAACGCUGGCGGCAGGCUCAACACAUGCAAGUCGAGCGCCCCGCAAGGGGCGCGGCAGACGGGUGAGUAACGCGUGGGAAUCUACCCACCUCUACGGAAUAACGCAUGGAAACGUGUGCUAAUACCGUAUACGUCCUUCGGGAGAAAGAUUUAUCGGAGAUGGAUGAGCCCGCGUUGGAGUAGCUAGUUGGUGGGGUAAAGGCCUACCAAGGCGACGAUCCAUAGCUGGUCUGAGAGGAUGAUCAGCCACACUGGGACUGAGACACGGCCCAGACUCCUACGGGAGGCAGCAGUGGGGAAUAUUGGACAAUGGGCGCAAGCCUGAUCCAGCCAUGCCGCGUGAGUGAUGAAGGCCCUAGGGUUGUAAAGCUCUUUCACCGGUGAAGAUAAUGACGGUAACCGGAGAAGAAGCCCCGGCUAACUUCGUGCCAGCCGCCGCCGCGGUAA
rnacentral:rRNA from 1 species